UGGGGAAUAUUGCACAAUGGGGGAAACCCUGAUGCAGCGACGCCGCGUGAACGAAGAAGGUAUUCGUAUCGUAAAGUUCUGUCCUAUGGGAAGAUAAUGACAGUACCAUAGAAGAAAGCUCCGGCUAAAUACGUGCCAGCAGCCGCGGUAAUACGUAUGGAGCGAGCGUUGUCCGGAAUUAUUGGGCGUAAAGGGUACGCAGGUGGUUUAAUAAGUCGAAUGUUAAAGAUCGGGGCUCAACCCCGUAAAGCAUUGGAAACUGAUAAACUCGAGUAGUGGAGAGGAAAGUGGAAUUCAUAGUGUAGUGGUGAAAUACGUAGAUAUUAGGAGGAAUACCAGUAGCGAAGGCGACUUUCUGGACACAAACUGACGCUGAGGUACGAAAGCGUGGGGAGCAAACAGG
rnacentral:rRNA from 1 species